GCACGAGUGCCAGAGGAUAUGGGUUGGUUUUAAGCAUCAAAUAUGAGGGUUUCCUUCUCGUGUG
rnacentral:tRNA from 1 species